rnacentral:rRNA from 1 species
UACCUGCAGCUCAAGUGGUAGCCGCUAUUAUUGGGCCUAAAACGUUCGUAGCCGGUUUGAUAAAUGCCUGGGUAAAUCGUAUGGCUUAACCAUACGAAUUCCGGGUAGACUGUUAAACUUGAGACCGGGAGAAGUCGGAGGUACUCCUGGGGUAGAGGUGAAAUUCUGUAAUCCUAGGGGGACCACCAGUGGCGAAGGCGUCCGACUAGAACGGGUCUGACGGUGAGGGACGAAGCCCUGGGGCGCAAACCGGAUUAGAUACCCGGGUAGUCCAGGGUGUAAACGCUGCUUGCUUGAUGUUAGUUGGGCUCCGAGCCCAAUUAGUGUCGGAGAGAAGUUGUUAAGCAAGCUGCCUGGGAAGUACGGUCGCAAGACUGAAAACUUAAAGGAAUUGGCGGAGGAGCAACAGCAACGGGUGGAGCGUGCGGUUU